rnacentral:rRNA from 1 species
CUACGGGUCGCACCAGUGGGGAAUUUUGCGCAAUGGGGGAAACCCUGACGCAGCAACGCCGCGUGAGUGAUGAAGGCUUUCGGGUCGUAAAGCUCUGUCAAGUGGGAAGAACCACUUUGAGGUUAAUACCCUCGAGGUUUGACGGUACCACUGAAGGAAGCACCGGCUAACUCCGUGCCAGCAGCCGCGGUAAUACGGGGGGUGCAAGCGUUAGUCGGAUUUACUGGGCGUAAAGCGCGCGUAGGCGGCCGGUUAAGUCAGAUGUGAAAGCCCGGGGCUCAACCCUAGAAGUGCAUUUGAUACUAUUCGGCUUGAGUAUGGGAGAGGGAAGUGGAAUUCCUGGUGUAGAGGUGAAAUUCGUAGAUAUCAGGAGGAACACCGGUGGCGAAGGCGACUUCCUGGAACAAUACUGACGCUGAGGCGCGAAGGCGUGGGGAGCAAACAGGAUUAGAUACCCUCGUAGUC